GCUGGGCGUGGUGGUGCACGCCUGUAAUCCCAGCUGCUUGGGAGGCUGAGGCAGGAGGAUGGCUUGAACCUGGGAGGCGGAGGUUGCAGUGAGCAGAGAUCGUGCCACUGCACUCCAGCCUGGGCAACAGAGCAAGACCCUGUCUCAA
ensembl:misc_RNA Metazoa_SRP Metazoan signal recognition particle RNA